rnacentral:hammerhead_ribozyme from 1 species
GUCCAACUGAAGAGUCCCGAACAGAACGAAAUUGUCCAUCCCGGAU